rnacentral:rRNA from 1 species
GUGAGGAAUAUUGCGCAAUGGAGGCAACUCUGACGCAGCCAUGCCGCGUGCAGGAAGAAGGCGCUACGCGUUGUAAACUGCUUUUAACCGGGAAGAAACCCCAGGACGUGUCCUGGGUUGACGGUACCGGAGGAAUAAGCACCGGCUAACUUCGUGCCAGCAGCCGCGGUAAUACGAAGGGUGCAAGCGUUAUCCGGAUUCAUUGGGUUUAAAGGGUGAGUAGGCGGAGCGUUAAGUCAGUGGUGAAAUCCUGCAGCUUAACUGUAGACUUGCCAUUGAUACUGGCGCUCUUGAGUGCGCUUGAAGUGGGCGGAAUGUGUCGUGUAGCGGUGAAAUGCCUAGAUAUGGCACAGAACACCAAUUGCGAAGGCAGCUCACUAAGGCGAUACUGACGCUGAGGCACGAAAGCGUGGGGAUCGAACAGGAUUAGAAACCCGAGUAGUCC